UGACCUCUGAUCACGUAGGAAUACCCGCUGAACUUACGCAUAUCCAUAUUCGGAGGAAAAAUUCCGUCAUACUAGUCGCAUCAUUCCGACGCGGCCGGUCACCGUGAUUUCAUCGAGAGUCUGAUCCGCGAAUCCCUCAACUAC
rnacentral:rRNA from 1 species